UGGGGAAUUUUGGACAAUGGGCGAAAGCCUGAUCCAGCAAUGCCGCGUGUGUGAAGAAGGCCUUCGGGUUGUAAAGCACUUUUGUCCGGAAAGAAAUCCUUGGCUCUAAUACAGUCGGGGGAUGACGGUACCGGAAGAAUAAGCACCGGCUAACUACGUGCCAGCAGCCGCGGUAAUACGUAGGGUGCAAGCGUUAAUCGGAAUUACUGGGCGUAAAGCGUGCGCAGGCGGUUUGCUAAGACCGAUGUGAAAUCCCCGGGCUCAACCUGGGAACUGCAUUGGUGACUGGCAGGCUAGAGUAUGGCAGAGGGGGGUAGAAUUCCACGUGUAGCAGUGAAAUGCGUAGAGAUGUGGAGGAAUACCGAUGGCGAAGGCAGCCCCCUGGGCCAAUACUGACGCUCAUGCACGAAAGCGAUGGGGGAGCAAACGAGGAUUAGAUACCCUGGUAGUCCCACGCCCUAAACGAUGUCAACUAGUUGUUGGGGAUUGCAUUUCCUUAGUAACGUAGCUAACGCGUGAAGUUGACCGCCUGGGGGAGUACGGUCGCAAGAUUAAAACUCAAAUGAAUUGAC
rnacentral:rRNA from 1 species